AUAGUUUGGUUCGUAACAAGUGUAAGUUAGAGAGAGAGACCUAUUUUUGAGUUUAGAUCUCCCCUUUUACCCAAUUAUUCAACAUGGUAUUAUAGCAUGAUUCUGAAACCUAAACCCUAUGUGUUAACAACAUCAAAACUGAAACCUAAAACCCAAAAUUCGCUGCCUGUCUAUCAGUAUAGAAGAUUUUUCAGCGAUAUUAUAACCCUAUAAAACAGCCAACAGCAGCAGGAAGUCAGACCAGUCGCUAGUUUUCUGGUUGACACUGUCAGUUCAAGAACAUCAAACCCACUAUAGAUUUGUCAAGAUCAACACCAUAGUCACCCUCAGACACUGCCGGUCUGCCCCCACUGAAAUCCCACCUUUAGGCAGUUUCUCAUGGAACCUCACAUGCUGGACGAAGGCUGCCAAAGCCGACUGCAUGCGCCGGCGCAUGAAGCCACUCUCAGACAUGGUUUUGACCUGAAAUGAUUCAGCAGUGAUCCAAUCCCUCUAUUAACAUGUUAUUGGAGUUUUUCGUGAUGUUUUUUGCCCAAAGGUCUCACCUUUUUUAAUUGCUCAUCUACGAGACCCAAGGAAUGGUUCUUUGAUGCUUCGUGAAGCAGUUUAUCAAUGGUUAUUGAGUUUAUUGGGUCUGAAAUAGUGGGAUUUGCUGUGUUUUUUAUUUAAUGUUCUAAUUCAUUCCAUAUAUCAAAAUAUCAAGCUGUUCGACAUGUGUAUUGCUCGAAGAUCUAAUCUUUGUUGUGGCCAUGCAGUCAUGGUAAUUUCUUAGUUGUGAUUCGGUGUUAGUAACAGUCAUUGGAGACUCUCUUGGAGCAGUGGCAGUGCUCAGAAGCUGCUUUUUGUGAGCCAGUGGCAGUGCUCAUAAGCUGUUUUUUGUGAGCCAUGGGUUUGCAACUGUGACAACGUCAGGACGAUGUCAUGUAGCUCAGAUGCAGCUUUUCACUUUUUAUUUUUAUCCGAACAAAUGAAAUGUAUUUAAAUUUGAAUUUGUAUAAUAUAUUUGUAUUUGAAAUUGAAAUUGAAUUUGUAUAAUAUAUUUGUAUUUAAAUUUGAAUUAAAAUUUAGAAUAAUUUAUGAAUUUUAUUGCAAUUAUGGUUUAA